rnacentral:lncRNA from 1 species
CGAACGCACCUACUCUGUUUUUGUGAUUCAUUAGAUAGGUAUUUCACUUGACCCAUAUAUUUCAUCUUUUCGUACUGUGACUAUUUCAUGUUAACGUCAACCUGUAGCUUUGAUUUAUAAAAAUGAUAGAAUCUGAAGCGAGAUUAUAUAUAAAAUGCUCUUGCUUUAUACGUUUUAAGGACAAAAUAUACACCCCAAACAAGCCCUAAUAUAAAAAGGUGCACUCGAUUUUCUCUUUUCGAUACAAUUUUUACCCAUUUUUUAUAAUUUUUUCUUAAGACACAUAAUGGGAGGGCUGACACGAAAAUUACUGAACUAAUAGAUUGAUAUGUUCUCCGUCCGUGGUAAAAAAAAAUAAAAAAUCGGAGGUUAUGCAUUUUCUACAUCCAAC